GACGAACGCUGGCGGCGUGCCUAAUACAUGCAAGUCGAACGCUGAAGGAGGAGCUUGCUUCUCUGGAUGAGUUGCGAACGGGUGAGUAACGCGUAGGUAACCUGCCUGGUAGCGGGGGAUAACUAUUGGAAACGAUAGCUAAUACCGCAUAAUAGUAGAUGUUGCAUGACAUUUGCUUAAAAGGUGCAAUUGCAUCACUACCAGAUGGACCUGCGUUGUAUUAGCUAGUUGGUGGGGUAACGGCUCACCAAGGCGACGAUACAUAGCCGACCUGGGAGGGGGAUCGGCCAAACUGGGACUGGGACACGGCCCAGACUCCUACGGGAGGCAGCAGUAGGGAAUCUUCGGCAAUGGACGGAAGUCUGACCGAGCAACGCCGGGUGAGGGAAGAAGGGUUUCGGAUCGUAAAGCUCUGUUGUAAGAGAAGAACGAGUGUGAGAGUGGAAAGUUCACACUGUGACGGUAUCUUACCAGAAAGGGACGGCUAACUACGUG
rnacentral:rRNA from 1 species